ensembl:lincRNA
AACUUAGCCAUCAGUGAUAGGAUUAUGAGUAUUUCAUUUUCUUUAUGCUUUUCAGUUUUCUAUAUUGACCCUGUGUUUUAGGAAUGAGAGGAAGAAAAAAUUUUUUCAGUCCAACCUAUGUGUCAACUACUAUUUUGUUCAUAGAAUGAUGCCGCUUGAUCCCUCAUCACACAGAAUUAGGGUAUAACAAUGCUGGGGAAAGAAAACUUCAAGUUGAUAUCCAGUUCCCUCUUUAUAUUUAUCAAGGCAGGUGCAAAGUACGGCAAGGCCAACAACUGCAAGAGACCAGGAGACAAAGGACAUAAAACUUGGAAAGCUGGGUGUCAAGAUUUAAGAUUUAGCAGCAGAAAUAAGUAAGUGCUGGUUGCAUUGCAGUCGUUAGAAAAUGUUAUUUUACUUAAGCACCUAUCUAUUCAUGUUCCCUCCGGACUCUCUUACUAUCUAAGGCCCAUUCCCUGGAGUCACUGGACUAAUCCACAGGAAGCCAGAGAAUAAUCCUUGCUUCGUUUAGAAAAUUACCCGAAGCAUCUCUGGGACACAAACUCGUGCCCAAUCAUCCUGAAAACACAUGUAACGUUCAGGGUUUGUGACUAAGUGGACGUGUACAGUAUAAAAGACUACACAUUCGCCAGCAAAACGCAGUGUGUCAUACCAAGGUCAGGCUGUUCUAGACUGGGGGACUUCAUUUCAAGCUAUAGAAACUGAAAAGUUAUUUAAAAAAUAAUGCACUUCUUUGCAGUUGUAUUUUGAUUAAGUGGCAUCUUGUUCGGGCUACUUACGAAGAGUAAGAACAAUCACAGUGAUGAUGCCUGCAUCUGAGAAAAAAAGAAAACUGUUUGAAGACUGAGCACACAAGGGUCCCAGAUGGUAGAUGCAUUUAAUUUGGAUCAGAUCAUCUAAUGCCAUGUCAGAGAAGUCGCUCCCCAGUCUAGUUUCAGGGUGAGCGCUAGCGUGUCCAGCUCAUUCUGAUCAGAGAAUCCUUCUAAUCAGAUUCCAGGGUUAGAAUCCCUCUUGCAAAACUCUUCACUGGAACUUGACUUUUCAUGGCUUUGUGCUGUUGGAGCUGUACCAGGUUACUUCGUAAAGCUCACCAGGACUAUCAGAAUUCCCUAGAUUAGAGGAAAUGACCUACGGGUCUCCAUAUACAGUACCACUUAGGUUUAGCAUGUUAAGUGGACUACUAAAAUUUAAACUCCAAAUGUCCAAUUUUGUGAAACUUGGUUCCUUCCUUAACUACCAAUGAUUGAAACACAAUAGAUAUGUCCACAUAGAACUCCAAGGCCUCAUAAUGCAGAGUAAUUAGUAGCCAAAAUAAUACCUAAUUCCUCAAAGUCUUCAAGUGUUAGUCGGUCACUGGGCUCCGGAUAGCCUAGGGGAAAAAAUAGAAAUAAGUUAAAAAAGAAAGAUAGCCAAAAGCUUAAAGGUCCAUAAAUUCACUGGUUUUAUUUUUUGCUUUUGUAUGAAACCACUUUUCAUUUCAUUUUCCUUAAUGGUUAUAAAUAAAAGUGCUCUCAUCAAUUAUAAAUUUAUAUUUGAUGUCUUCAACAAUAUUCUUCCUGUCCACUGAUAUUUCCUGUGACAAUAGUCUGUGGUAUAGGAAGCAAACUUAUCAUUGCCACAUCCUCAAAAUUAUCCUGAAUUCAACAUGAUUCUACUUAAAAUUAAAAAAAUAGAGGAGGACUUUGAAACAAUUUAGAAGCUGAUCUGGAAUAGAAAGUCUCUUCAACAUAACAAAAGCCACUUAUCAAAAACCCAUGGCUGACAUCAAAUUUAAUGGUGAGGGACUAAAGUUUUUCCCUUAAGACCUGGAACAGGGGGUGCCUGUUCUGGGUGGCUCAGUUGGUUAAGCAACUGCUUUCAUCUCAGGUCGUGAUCCUGGAGUCCCAGGAUCAAGUCCUGGGAUCGAGUCCCGUGUCUGGCUUCCUGCUCAGCAGGGAGUCUGCUUCUCCCUUUGACCCUCUCCCCUCUCCUGCUUUCUCUCACUCACUCUCUCUCUCUCUCAAAUAAAUAAAUAAAUAAAUAAUCUUAAAAGAAAAAAAGAUCUGGAACUGGACAGGGUGUCUGUGUUUGCCACUUCUAUUCCAUAUUUCUGAUAUAGAAAUUCAUAUCAGAACUAGUUGAAAAAGAAAUAAAAAACAUCUAAAUUAGGAAGAAAUAAAAUGAUCUCUAUUCAUAGGUGACAUGAUCUUUUACAUAGAAAACUCUAAAGAUUAAACACACAUACACACAGUCCUGGUGGAAUGAAUAAAUGAAUUCAUUAAAGUUGCUGGAUACAAAAUCAACAGGCAAAAAUCAAUUGCAUUUCUACACACUAACAAUAAGCAACCUAAAAAGGAAAUUAAGAAAACAAUUCCAUUUAUAACUGAAUCAAAAAGAGUAAAAGACUUUGGAAUAAACAUGACAAAGGAGGUAAAGGACUUGUUACACUGAAAAGUAUAAGCUAAAGCAGAAAGGAAUUUAAAAAGACAUAAAUAACGGGAAAGCAAACCCUGUGUUUGUGGAUUGGGGGACCUACUAAAGUUAAGAUGUAAACAUGAUAAGAAAUAAUCUACAAAUGAAAUGCAACCCCUAUCAAAAUUCUAAUGAUGGUCUUUGUAGGAAAAGAAAAAUCCAUCCGAAAAUUCAUAUAUAAUCUCAAGGAACUAGGAACAGUCAAGGCAAACAUGAAAAGAGAAAGAUGAAAGGACUCAUAUUUCCUGAUUUCAAAACUUACUAUAAAGCUACAAUAACCAAAACAGAAUGGUGCUGGCAUUCUAAAGACAUUCUAAAGACAGACCUACAGACAAAUGGAACAGAAGCCACAAAAUAAAUCUUUGGAUAUGCUGUUAAGUAAUUCUCCACAAAGGUGCUGACAAACUUCAGUAGGGAAAGAACAAUCUUUUCCACAAAUGGUUUUGAAAACUGGAUAACGACAUACACAAAAGGAUGACUUUUAACACUUGCCAUUCACCAAAUACAAAAGUUAACUCAAAAUGGAUCAAAGACCCUAAAAAUUUAAA